AACGCACGAGACCUGCGGACCUGCGGAGGGAUCAUUAAUGAGAAGCUGCCCCUCGUGGGUAGACCUCCCACCCUCUGUGAACUUUCCUUUGUUGCUUUGGCAGGCCCGUCCUCUGGACCGCCGGCUUCGGCUGGCCCGUGCCUGCCAGAGGAUUCCAAACCCUGUCUGUCAGUGUUGUCUGAGUCUAUAUGAAAUCGUUAAAACUUUUAACAAUGGAUCUCUAGAUCGGAAGAGCACACG
rnacentral:misc_RNA from 1 species